rnacentral:rRNA from 1 species
AUGAAGAUUAGUGGAUGGAAAGAGAAGUUGUUAUCGGCUGGUGGAAAGGAAAUUUUGCUUAAGUCUGUUGUUCAAGCUAUCCCAACAUAUGCAAUGUCCGUCUUUAAAAUUCCUAAAUUUUUUUGCAAAGGAAUCAUAGACGCAAUGUCGCAAUUCUGGUGGGGUGACGAGGACAAUCAGAAAAGGAUGCACUGGAUGGCGUGGUGGAAGAUGUGUGUUCCAAAAGACCUAGGUGGAAUGGGUUUCCAUGAUAUACACUGUUUUAACCUGGCUUUGCUAGCGAAACAAGCUUGGCGCCUCUUGGAAAAUCCUGAAUCCUUAUGUGCAACAAUCCUAAGAGCAAAGUAUUUCCCGGAGGGCGAUUUGAUGAGCGCGGUAUUAAAAAAGGGCUCCUCUUUUACGUGGCAAAGCAUUAUGGCGGGAGUG